UCCUACGGGGCGCAGCAGUGAGGAAUAUUGGUCAAUGGCCGGGAGGCUGAACCAGCCAAGUCGCGUGAGGGAAGACGGCCCUACGGGUUGUAAACCUCUUUUGUCAGGGAGCAAGGUGCAGGUCGGGACCUGCUGUGAGAGUACCUGAAGAAAAAGCAUCGGCUAACUCCGUGCCAGCAGCCGCGGUAAUACGGAGGAUGCGAGCGUUAUCCGGAUUUAUUGGGUUUAAAGGGUGCGCAGGCGGAGGUGCAAGUCAGUGGUCAAAUUGCGGGGCUCAACCCCGUACUGCCGUUGAAACUGCAUCC
rnacentral:rRNA from 1 species